rnacentral:misc_RNA from 1 species
CGCAGUCUACUUUGUUUACAUACAAGAUGCAGUACACACUUUUAAUUUUUCUGCUACUUGUUGCGUUUCUUGACAAAACAACUACAGACUAUUUGAAAUCUUCCACUCCCGUCGAGUUCGAGACAGAAGAAAAUUCGGAUGGAUCUGGGUCGGAUGCAUACCAAUUUAAUGUUAUGUCUACAGGCCAAAAUAUUCAAGCGAAAGUGUCAUCUACUACAAGAGGCCAAAUUACAGAUUCAACACCUGCAUUGAAUAAAAUAUCUACUACUAAUGCCAUUUCAACUACAAAAGGGAUUACUACUAAUACUACUACUGCUACAAUAACCACAUCUACUAGUAGUGGUAGUAGUAGUAGUAGUAGUAGUAGUAGUAGUAGUAGUAGUAGUAGUAGUAGUAGAAGUAGUAGUAGUAGUAGAAGUAGUAGUAGUAGUAGUAGUACCACCAACAAGACGAAAAGUCAAAGUAAAGUAGCCAAAGUGAAAGAGAUAGAUAGUUUAAAGAAACAACUCACCAACUACAAAAUAAUUGUGGCUGUAGUCAGUAUUUUCUUGGGCAUAAUAUUACUUCUGUUCAUUUUCUAUGUCAUCUCAAAAAAGAAAAACAGUUUAGAUAUUGAUCAGCCACGUUAUAAUACUCAGAUCUGUGAAAAUAAAACCUCAAAUAGAACGAUGGCACAAACAACAGUAAGACUCAGUUCCUUUCUGCCGCAUGUGGAGAACGGAGACGAGAAGGACCCCGAUACCAAUGAUACCAAUAUCAGUUCGUUCCAGACAAGGAAGAAAAGCACGGCAAACGCAUCACUUUAGUAGGAAACAAAGAACACAUAUACAUGUGUAACACAUAUACAUAAUAUAAGAAGUCUUGAAGCUCCGUGCCGUUGAAACAAUUUUGAUAUAAUUCUGAGAACUGAAGAAGACAUGCUGCGCUGACCAUGGACCAUGUGUGCUUGUUCCCCAAUCAGUCACCCUUCAAAAUGUUCUAGUUAUUCUAAAAACAAGUGAUAAAAGUGUAGCGAAGAACUAAAAGCUGAGAAAAAUGCUAAUGAAACAAUGGAUACUUGAAUGGUUGUGCUGAUAAGCGGAAAGGUUUCAACGGAUGAAUAUAUUGACGGGGGAAUUAUGAAUUUGUAAUUCGAUGUAAGGUUGGCUGAAUUUUUGAAUUAAAAAAAUAUUUAUGUUACCUUGCAGUGUGUCUGA